GGUGGUACCAGCUGAACCCCCCCCAUGCCCACUCCAUCCAACAAUCUCGGAUCUAAUUCAUUUGGACCUCCAAAGAGGCUGGAACCAGAGUUCUGUCUUCCUCCAGGAUCCUGAGAAGCUCCUGGUCCUCUCAAGCCGACGAAAAGGGGAUUCAGAAUCCCCCACUGGCUUCCAGUUAACAGCAACAAGCAUUCCCUGACAUGUAGGGACGGCCCUCAGACCUGCAGGCCAGGAGAGACCAUCUGGUUCAACCCACCCCCCACCUCUACCAACAGAAGGGGAAAUGAAGGUCUGGAGCGAAGGAGCAGUCUGGCCAAGGACCUGUCACUGUCGCACCAUCCAAUAGCAACCGGUCCUGGUUCAGUUUCUACUCAGACAAACUCUGGCUUGCCCCUCUGAGUGUACGACAGACUAUGUAACAGGCCACCACAUGGCCUCUCUGUUCACGGCACAAAAAAUACAUAUUGCGAGAUGUUUUUACUUUUA